rnacentral:rRNA from 1 species
UUACGGCCACAUCACGUUGAAACACCAGAUCCUGUACGAUUACCGAAAUUAAGCAACGUUGAGCCUGGUCAAUACGUAGAUGGGUGACUGCGUGGUAAUACCAGGUGCU